AUACCCUGGUAGUCCACGCCGUAAACGAUGAGUGUUAAGUGUUAGAGGGUUUCCGCCCCUUAGUGUUGCAGAUAAAGCACUAAGCACUCUGCCUGGGGAGUACGGCCGCAAGGGUGAAAAUCAAAGGAAUUGACGGGGGGCCGCACAAGCGGUGGAGCAUGUGGUUUAAUUUGAAGCAACGCGAAGAACCUUACCAGGUCUUGACAUCUUCUGACAACCCUAGAGAUAGGGCUUUUCCCUUUGGGGGACAGAGUGACAGGUGGUGCAUGGUUGUCGUCAGCUCGUGUCGUGAGAUGUUGGGUUAAGUCCCGCAACGAGCGCAACCCUUGAUCUUAGUUGCCAGCAUUCAGUUGGGCACUCUAAGGUGACUGCCGGUGACAAACCGGAGGAAGGUGGGGAUGACGUCAAAUCAUCAUGCCCCUUAUGACCUGGGCUACACACGUGCUACAAUGGAUGGUACAAAGGGCUGCAAACCUGCGAAGGUAAGCGAAUCCCAUAAAGCCAUUCUCAGUUCGGAUUGCAGGCUGCAACUCGCCUGCAUGAAGCCGGAAUCGCUAGUAAUCGCGGAUCAGCAUGCCGCGGUGAAUACGUUCCCGGGCCUUGUACACACCGCCCGUCACACCACGAGAGUUUGUAACACCCGAAGUCGGUAUGGUUUAU
rnacentral:rRNA from 1 species